rnacentral:rRNA from 1 species
GACGAACGCUGGCGGCGUGCUUAACACAUGCAAGUCGAACGGUAAGGCGCUUCUUUUGUUGGGUGCUGUGGUGGCGAACGGGUGGGGAAAGCGAGAGGAACGUAACCUGCACUCUUGGAUAACUUCAGGACACGGAGGCUAAUAUCAUACGGGAUCUCCUGCGUCUGGGGGGUGGUGGGACAGGUUCGGCGGUUGGGGCGGGAGGCGGGGCUUAUGAGGUCGUUGGGGGGGUAGUGGGGGACCAGGGCUUUGAAGGGUAGCCGGCCUGAGCGGGAGACCGGCACCACUGGGACUGCGACACGGCCCAGAAUCGUACGGGAGGGAGCAGUGGGGAAUAUUGCAAAAUGGGCGGGAGCCGGAUGCAGCAACGCCGCGUGCGUGAUGACGGCCUUCGGGUUGUAAACCGCUUUCGCCUGUGACGAAGCGUGAUUGACGGUAAUGGGUAAAGAAGCACCGGCUAACUACGUG